rnacentral:misc_RNA from 1 species
ACACCUCAACUCUCAUGGCUUUGCCAUGAUGAGCUUGGACUUUGGGGGUCUUGCUGGCCUGUGGGUCGGCUCCUCUCAAAUGAAUUAGCUUGCCAGUGUUUGGUGGCAUCACGGGUGUGAUAACUAUCUACGCUUGUGGCUUUCCACCAGGUAACCUUCAGUGAUGAAGGUUCGCUGGGGCUCAUAAACGUCUCUCCUCAGCGAGGACAGCUCUCUUUGAAC